AACGAACGCUGGCGGCAGGCCUAACACACGCAAGUCGAGCGAGGUAGCAAUACCUAGCGGCGGACGGGUGAGUAACGCGUGGGAACGUACCCUUUGCUACGGAAUAGCCCCGGGAAACUGGGAGUAAUACCGUAUGUGCCCUUCGGGGGAAAGAUUUAUCGGCAAAGGAUCGGCCCGCGUUGGAUUAGGUAGUUGGUGGGGUAAUGGCCUACCAAGCCGACGAUCCAUAGCUGGUUUGAGAGGAUGAUCAGCCACACUGGGACUGAGACACGGCCCAGACUCCUACGGGAGGCAGCAGUGGGGAAUCUUAGACAAUGGGCGCAAGCCUGAUCUAGCCAUGCCGCGUGAGUGAUGAAGGCCUUAGGGUUGUAAAGCUCUUUCAGAUGGGAAGAUUAUGACGGUACCAUCAGAAGAAGCCCCGGCUAACUCCGUG
rnacentral:rRNA from 1 species